GGAAACGUGCACUUUCAAGAGCAAGCGAGAGGCCGAACGGGGUAAACAAGCCUCACUGGUGCCCUCUUUGAAAGCUGGUGUCAAUUGCUGUUGAUCUUCCAGAAUGGAACUGCGCCUAAACACACGUCUGGCGGCGUCCUGGACAAGCACAACAGCUGUGGGAGAUGAGUGGGGGUUAGGUGGAGAGUUUUGGUUGGCACCUUUUGGCGUGAGACUUUCAUGUGGCAGUUUCGUACGUCCGCUAAGAUCCGCACCCGCGACAGUGCUAGCGACAUGUGCCUCAAAGCGACCAAGAGGCUCCUGUUACUAUAAAGCCACCACCUCCCUCACCAAGAAAAUAAA